UACGUAGGGGGCAAGCGUUGUCCGGAUUUAUUGGGCGUAAAGAGCGUGUAGGCGGCCAAGCAGGUCAGCUGUGAAAACUCGAGGCUCAACCUCGAGACGUCGGUUGAAACCGCUUGGCUAGAGUCCGGAAGAGGAGAGUGGAAUUCCCGGUGUAGCGGUGAAAUGCGCAGAUAUCGGGAAGAACACCCGUGGCGAAGGCGGCUCUCUGGGACGGUACUGACGUUGAGACGCGAAAGCGUGGGGAGCGAACAGG
rnacentral:rRNA from 1 species